AUGCCUAUCAACUGUUUAAAAGAUGGUUCUGCUAUCACUCUUGGAUGGACCUGCGGUGCAUUAGCUAGUUGGGUAGGGGUAACGGCCUACCAAGGCGAUGAUGCAUAGCCGAGUUGAGAGACUGAUCGGCCACAUUGGGACUGAGACACGGCCCAAACUCCUACGGGAGGCAGCAGUAGGGGAAUCUUCCACAAUGGACGCAAGUCUGAUGGAGCAAACGCCGCGUAAGUGAAGAAGGGUUUCGGCUCGUAAAGCUCUGUUGUUGGUGAAGAAGGACAGGGGGUAGUAACUGACCUUUGUUUGACGGUAAUCAAUUAGAAAGUCACGGCUAACUACGUGCCAGCAGCCGCGGUAAAU
rnacentral:rRNA from 1 species